UACGAAGGGGGCUAGCGUUGCUCGGAAUUACUGGGCGUAAAGGGUGCGUAGGCGGGUCUUAAGUCAGAGGUGAAAUCCUGGAGCUCAACUCCAGAACUGCCUUUGAUACUGAGGAUCUUGAGUUCGGGAGAGGUGAGUGGAACUGCGAGUGUAGAGGUGAAAUUCGUAGAUAUUCGCAAGAACACCCAGUGGCGAAGGCGGCUCACUGGCCCCGAUACUGACGCUGAGGCGCGAAAGCGUGGGGAGCAACAGGG
rnacentral:rRNA from 1 species